UGGCUGGCUGUCAGUUGGAACCACAGGGGAGAAAGGGACAUUUGUAACUUAUCAUCCAGCAAGCUAGCUCAAGGUUAUUCUCAUGGCAGCUGGGCAGGGUUUCAAGAGAGCAAGCUGAAAGCCAUCAAGUGUCCAUCUUUCCUUGGAGUUGUCUGGCCCUCACUGCUGCUGCAUUCCAUUGGCUAAUGUCACAUGAGAUUGGCCUGCUUUCAAGAGGGCAGAAGAUUGGAGCAUUCUUCUCUGCAGAAGUUGGCUGAUCCUAGACAAAAGAUCUACAGACACUGACAUCUGGAUGCCCUCCUGUGAAAAGAUAAGGAUGGCCAAACCUUCCCGUUAACUAAGCAUCUGGACACUUAUAAUAGGAAGCCACAGAAGAGUUCAGAUUGACUUUGAACUACACCAAAAUAAAAUGAAGACACUCUAAUUUCUGUCCACCCUCACAUAAAUGAGGACCUCAACUCCAGAGCUCAUCAGUAUUAUCCAGGAAACACCAACCUCUGCAGGGCAAAGCACUGCAGCUUAGGAAGUGAAGUCCUCAUUAAGCCGGUAGCUAUUCACUGAAUACCUACCGUGAAUAAACUACAGAGAACUGAAGAGAGGGUACCUGCUUUUUCCUUUGUCCCCUGUCUUUAAUAGCCACUGCACUCCACAGAAACUAUCACCUUCUCAACAUUGGUGACAGCAAAAGGCAUGCUUUUCAUUAGCCUUAAACUAUAAGAAGGGAGAAAUUACCUCAAGACAAUAUUGGUUGGCUCAAUUGCAACAUCCACAAAGCAAAUAAUUUAUAAAAUAUUAGAAACUGCAAAAUAGCCUAAUGAUAUAUUGAAAAUCCUACAAGUGAACAAGGAGAAAGAAUAAUGGGAUUUUUUUUUUUUUUUGAAACAAAAAUUAAACGGAGUUGUUAGAAGGUUGAGGAGGGCGGAGGAUCUUGGCAGCAUCAACUGACAGACCACACGAGGGAGGAAAAAAACCCAUGAACUGGGAUGUCUCCACUGCCUUCUAUGAAAACAGAGUCUGGGCUGACUUACUAAAGUGCUUAAAACACUUCACUGCUUCCAAAGUUGUUAGAAAGACAACUACAAGUUGUCUUGUAGACACACUUGUUUAUGACCAAUUGCUUUGCCUGUUGACAAAGGAGCGGCACCAAACCUGCUGUCUAUGUGGUGUGACCCUAGACCUCAAAGUCAAGAUGACAUGUGAUAGUUCUCCUCCUGGCCAGCAGCAACUCAAAUCCCUACUGUUCAAGUUUUCUGGUUGGGGCUUUCUGGAGACCCGUAUUUUUUUUUCUUUUUUAUUUACUUAUUCAUGAGAGACACAUGGAGAGAGGCC